CGCUGGGGAUACCCCGGCCUGAUGGAGAGGGUCUAAGACCUUCCCGUCUUCUCCGGACACGGGAAAACAUUACCCUCUCUCUUUAUUCGCUAUGCUGAGUGGCAGGGAGGGUGCCCCGCUCCUGGUCCCCUUUUUUAUCCCCAGCCCUUGAACUUUUCCGGACUGACCUAUGUUUCUUGCCAGCUGAGGGAAGCGGCGGACUACGAUCCUUUCCUGCUCUUCAGUGCCAACCUGAAGCGGGAGCUGGCUGGGGAGCAGCCGUACCGCCGCGCUCUGCGGUGCCUGGACAUGCUGAGCCUCCAGGGCCAGUUCACCUUCACCGCCGACCGGCCGCAGCUGCACUGCGCAGCCUUCUUCAUCAGCGAGCCCGAGGAGUUCAUUACCAUCCACUACGACCAGGUCUCCAUCGACUGUCAGGGCCGGCGACUUCCUGAAGGUAUUUGAUGGUUGGAUUCUCAAGGGGGAGAAGUUCCCCAGUCCAAGGAUCAUCCUCCUCCCCUCAGCUGAGCGGUACAUAGAUUUCUGUGAGAGUGGUCUUAGCAGGAGGAGCAUCAGAUCUUCCCAGAAUGUGGCCAUGAUCUUCUUCCGAGUCCAUGAACCAGGAAAUGGAUUCACAUUAACCAUAAAGACAGACCCCAACCUCUUUCCCUGCAAUGUCAUUUCUCAGACUCCAAAUGGAAAGUUUACCCUGGUAGUUCCACACCAGCAUCGAAACUGCAGCUUCUCCAUAAUUUAUCUGUGGUGAUCAAA
rnacentral:sRNA from 1 species